AAAAAGUUUUAAAAAAAUUUGGAGUGGCCUAAACAAUUUUAAAACUCUCGAAUUUCAUUAAAAAUCUAUUAAAAUUUCAUUUAAUUCGGGAAUGAUUGAAUCUCAACGUGAACAAAAUCUCAAUUUAACGUCGUUAAAUACUCAUUCAGAUCAUGGAAGGUCCAUCGUAUCCCGAAUCCUCCCUUUUUGAUCUUUUUCCGCAAGUAACGUCUCCCGAAAGUGACAUUUUGCCCGAAAUCGAUGAGAAAUCCUUCGAAUGUUCGCAUUGUACGAAGCGUUUCAAGAUUCAUCGUGACCUUCGGAGGCAUUUUCGGAUACACACAGGUGCCCGUCCCUUCCAAUGUUCCUUUCCCGACUGUGAUAAGAGCUUUUCGACAACCGACAUUCGUAAAAUUCACGAAAAAAUCCACAAAAAUGAGCGAGAUUUCAAAUGUGCCUUCGCUGGAUGCGAAAAAUCCUUCACGAACAAACGAAAUUUGGUGAAUCACGAAAAUAUUCACUCACAAACGAAGCCUUAUGCGUGCAAAACGUGCGAAAAAAGGUUUACGGAGUACUCGGCGUGGUACAAACAUGCGAGAAAUGUUCAUCCGGAACCGCGAGAUGCAAAAACAAGAAUUCACAAAUGUAGAUUUUGUCAGAAUUCGUACAAAAAUAGGCAAAUUUUGGAGAAACAUGUGAAGGAGAAACAUGAAACGGAUUAGUUUUAAGAUUUUUUUGACAUCACUUUUUUUUAUUAGAUUUCUAAUAAACUUUUUUUGUACGUUAGAUUAGAUGCGCAUUGAACUGCACAAAUAUUCCAAGCGGAUGUCGUGACUUUUUUGAUGUUUUUGAAAAAAAAAAAUUCGAAAUCUAACCGAAGAGACCCAAUCCCAUGUCGUCAUCUUCUUCUUCCUCGGAU